rnacentral:tRNA from 1 species
AAAAAUUUAGUUAAAUCCUAUAACGUUAGCUUGUCAAGCUAAAAUUAUUUAAUAAAUAAUUUUUA